rnacentral:rRNA from 1 species
AUGCCGAAGGUGCGGCGGCUGAAGCUUUCUGACACUGGAGGCGGCGAGGACCGCCUCAGCGCGUUGCAUGAUGACGCCCUCAUCCAGAUCCUCAUCAAGCUCCGUUGCCUCGCUGCAGCCGCCCGGACCAGCGUCCUCUCCCGCCGUUGGCGCCACCUUUGGGUCCUCCUCCCGAAGCUCCACUUCUACAAUGCGACGGACCCCCGCCGCAUACGCUCCGCCCUCGCCGCCCACGAGACCCCGAUGCUCCAGGAGCUCUUUGUCGUCAGACAGGAUGCCUCUUCUGGGCCCACGGGGGCGUGGCUCCCUAUCGCCGCGCACCGCCUCUCCGGCUUACUGUUUUGCCACUAUCUAUCGCAGAGGGUCAUGGCUAGGAGAAGAGUUGCCUUGAAGCUGUCGUGCUUCGAGAGCGCCACCGGGAUCUAUAUGCGGUUAGGGUUCCUCCGCCUUACGCUGCCGCCUUUCGGUGUUUUCGCCCGACUCAGUCUUCUUCACCUCUUUCAGCUCCGACUGCACGGUAUGUAUCAGCUCGAUGUCAUUGUCUCCUCGCCGCGGUGCCCGUGCUUGGGUAGACUUCUCGUCGAUGACGUCCGGGGUGUGGGCGGCCUCGCAAUCCACUCGGAAUCUCUUGGACAAAUUGAGCUAUAUAAUCUGCCCGACUUGCAGCAGCUCACCAUCGUGGCGCCAUCACUCCAUCAGCUAAAAGUGCAGGAUCGCUUUGCUCCAGUUGCGCGGCAACCGGUUGCCAGCAUCUCAGCCCCACAUCUGCUGCAGCUCGCAUGGAUAGAUGAUUAUGAUCAAAACUCUGUCAAUCUUGGCGAGAUGGCGCACCUACAACGGCUUGUCCUCCAACAAUUUAUCGUUUAUGGAAAGGACUACAUUGCUUCGCACAACCAUAAUUGUGCGCUUCUUUUGUGGCACUUUGAAUGCCUACACAAUCUUGUUAUCACUCUUCAUUGCCCCCCGGACAUAGCUAACAAGAAAUACUUGAUGGAAGAUAUAACAAGGGUUCCUGAUGUUAAGCUAUUGGGAUUGGGCAUAACGGCAUGUGGGCAUUCCUUUGGAGCCAGCUUAUUUCAUGUUCUGCGGAUGUGUACUGCAAUAAGAAGGCUGAAUCUUGGUCUUAUUGUCGCACCUGAACACGAGGCAGAAACUGUGUGCCCAUCAGGCUGUAUAUGUGAUCAGCCACCAAGCUGGAAAACCAGGGAACUCGUGUUGAAUUGCCUCGAAGAAGUAGAAAUCUUUGACUUGAAAGGAAGUGAACAUGAAAUCAGUGCUGUGAAUCGUCUAUUCAGUUGGGCACCGGUGCUAAAAAGGAUGACAGUAAAUUUCCAUUACUCAGUCACUGAAAACAAAGCCGAAGAGCUCUGCCAAGUGUUACUAACCUUCUCCAGGCCAGGAAUAUGUAUGAUUUGUAGGAUGCCCGACAUGUCGGAGAAAGUUUUGUGUGCUUAA